UACGUAGGUGACCAGCGUUGUCCGGAUUUACUGGGCGUAAGAGCGCGCAGGCGGUCGUUCAAGUCGAGUGUGAAAGCCCCCGGCUCAACUGGGGAGGGUCACUCGAUACUGAUCGACUUGAAGGCAGGAGAGGGAAGCGGAAUUCCCGGUGUAGUGGUGAAAUGCGUAGAUAUCGGGAGGAACACCAGUGGCGAAGGCGG
rnacentral:rRNA from 1 species